GACAGAGGGUGCAAACGUUGCUCGGAAUCAUUGGGCGUAAAGCGCGUGUAGGUGGCUCUUCACGUCGGAUGUGAAAGCCCGGGGCUCAACCCCGGCAGUGCAUCCGAAACGAGGGAGCUAGAGUGCUGGAGAGGCGGGUGGAAUUCCCGGUGUAGAGGUGAAAUUCGUAGAUAUCGAGAGGAACACCGGUGGCGAAGGCGGCUACCUGGACAGAAACUGACGCUGAGACGCGAAAGCGUGGGGAGCAAACAGG
rnacentral:rRNA from 1 species